CUUUCUCUCUGUCUGUCUCUCCCUUUCUCUAUUUCUCGUUCUCUCUCUCUCUCUCUCUCCCCCUUUCUCUAUUUCCUCCUUUCUGAAUCUUAUCCUAGGGUUUUUAUGAUUUCUUUAGUUUAAUUUCGUGGUGAUAUCGAAAAAUGGGUUUGGUUGAAGUGAUUUGAUUUCUAAAGUUUUAUGGGUUUAAUGUCCAAAAUGGGUUUGAUUUUAGUGGUUUGAUACAUUUUUCCCUUUUUUCCCCUUCUCUCUCCUUAGUUUCAAAGCCCUAAUCCAUUGUAAGGAUUUUAGAUUUUAUCUGUUUUUUAGAUGCUCAUGGUUUCAUGGUUCAACAUUUUCUCCACUAAAAACUUUGAAGUUAGCUUGAUUAUCAAGAAAAUAAAUAUUUUAUUUAUAUGCGAGGGGGUUGAAUCGAAUUUCUUUGCAGAACCAUUAACUGGGAAUGUGUUUACAUGUAUAUCAAAUGCUUUUAGCUUAGGGAUUUUCAAGUCUCCGCAAUUUGUUUUAUUUUUUAUCACUUGAUUGGUUUCUUCUUUGGUUCUGCUAUGCCUUUUUUUCUUUUUCUUUUUUUGUUCAAUUUUGAUUUUUUAUUGUUUGUUUGUUUUGGCUGUUAUGUGAGAUAAUGUUAAAAGUCUGGUAUUUCUGCUUGUUUAUUGAUUAGAGUCAGUGGGGGACAUUUUCUUAGACUUUUGAGGCCUAAAUAGUGUUCUACCUCAAAGAUAUCUGACCAAAUAUGUAUUUUUCCUUUUCUUGAAAUAAUUGGAAAACAGAUAAUGGACCUGAGGCUGUGAUUUGUCUUGUAGCUUCCCAGAGUGUGACGGGUGCUUCCCUUCAAGAGAAAGAAGGAUUCCGAUGGCUGAACAAUGAUGUUGUUAAUGUCAUCAACAUAUCUAUCCAAAGUAUUUUGGCAGUCUUGAUGCAGCAAAUUGUACUCCAAAACUGCUAUACAUAGUUUUACAAGAUCACCCAUUUAGUUUUAGAUCAUCUCGCAAGGAAAGGGACAAACAGUGACACUCUUCAAGCUGGACAAAAUGUAUCAACUAGUUUAUGUUGGAGAUGUUGAAGUCCCUGGAACAACCACGAAUAGUACGACAGGACAAUGCCUUGAUGGUACUUUCUCGCCGGAGCUUGUGAAAGGAAAAAUUGUUUUGUGUCUAAGUGGGUAUUCAAAUAAUGUUGAGAAAGGCUUAGAGGUCAAAAGAGUCUAAGGAAUUGGGUUGAUUCUACAGAACCUUGUGAAUGGAGAACUUUGACUCUAGAACUUUCAUGGCUUGCCCUCAUGUGGCUAUUAUAGCUUCACUCAUCAAAGCCAUACACCCUGAUUGGAGCAGUGCUAUGAUAGGAUCUGCCCUGAUAACAACUGGUACACUUGCACGUUUUAACUUAUUACAUGUUCUUUAUUUUCUAGCUUUCAAGACAUCUUUUAUGUCCUAAUUUUUAUAGGUUUUUCUUCUUUUGGCAUAGCUGGGCUAAAUAAUAACCAAAUGACACUUCUCUUUCUCUCUAUUAACCAAAUUACACUUCUCUUUCUCUCUAUGUUCAUUAGAGUCGAAAAUGACUUAAACUUAACCGAAAAAGGGCGUUAAGGAUGCAAAAAAGCGAAACAGCCCCAGAACCAUCGUGUGGAUGUCACGACUAGCUUCCUGGUGACAUAUAGGACCUGUGACAAUAGUCAAAAGGUCAUUAGCACACAUAGGUUAGGAAUUAGAGCCGAAAACGCCUAAAAUUUAAUCGGAAAAGGGCGUUAAGGAGGCAAAAAUGCAAAACAGCUCCAGAACCACCGUAGAAAUGUCAUGGCCAGCUUCCUCGUGACAAAUAGGACCUUUGACAACAGAAGAAAUGUAAUUAGCAUGCGUAGGUUGGGAGUUACUGCCGCAAACGCCAUAAACUUAUUCGAAAAAGGGAGAGUUUGACAUUCAAUAAUUGUUCAACAUUUUGAUUUUGAAUGAUGCCAUUGUUUCAUCAUAUAAGGUGGUCAUUUGGGUGGUAAAUGUGUUAAGAAAAUGGGAAUGGAAAAGAGUUAAAAUAAAUUUACAGCCAAAACAUUUUAGCAAUAAGCAUUUAUUUUCUGAAGAGGUAUGCUCCUAAAAAUUGUAUUUCUUGUAAAUCGAAAUCAAGUUUGGAAUAAAUCUUUCAUGAAAAAGGCUUUUAUAGAUUGUUCUACCUUAAAUGCAUGUUAUUACAACCUUUUUCCUAUGUCUGAAUCAAUUGAUAUUUUGUAAUGGGUGCAAUUAUUAUAUUUUAUUUUUUGUAGAUGGCUGGCGUAGACUUGUGGAUAGUCUAUAUUUUUAUUUAUGAAGGACACUUGACACUUUUGUAUAAUUCUGCUAACUAUGUCGCCCUCUGCUUUUGUGUAGAUUAGUAUUAUUGAUACAUAUAACUUUUGUAAUCCAACUG